rnacentral:rRNA from 1 species
GGAGUACGGCCGCAAGNUGAAACUCAAAGGAAUUGACGGGACCCGCACAAGCGGUGGAUGAUGUGGUUUAAUUCGAUGCAACGCGAAAAACCUUACCUACCCUUGACAUGUCUGGAAUCCUGCAGAGAUGUGGGAGUGCUCGAAAGAGAACCAGAACACAGGUGCUGCAUGGCCGUCGUCAGCUCGUGUCGUGAGAUGUUGGGUUAAGUCCCGCAACGAGCGCAACCCUUGUCAUUAGUUGCUACGAAAGGGCACUCUAAUGAGACUGCCGGUGACAAACCGGAGGAAGGUGGGGAUGACGUCAGGUCCUCAUGGCCCUUAUGGGUAGGGCUACACACGUCAUACAAUGGCCGGUACAGAGGGCUGCCAACCCGCGAGGGGGAGCUAAUCCCAUAAAACCGGUCGUAGUCCGGAUCGCAGUCUGCAACUCGACUGCGUGAAGUCGGAAUCGCUAGUAAUCGCGGAUCAGCUUGCCGCGGUGAAUACGUUCCCGGGUCUUGUACACACCGCCUGUCACACCAUGGGAGCGGGUUCUGCCAGAAGUAGUUAGCCUAACCGCAAGGAGGGCGAUUACCACGGCAGGGUUCGUGACUGGGGUGAAGUCGUAACAAGGUAGCCGUAUCGGAAGGUGCGGCUGGAUCACCUCCUU